rnacentral:rRNA from 1 species
UACAGAGGGGGCAAGCGUUAUUCGGAAUUAUUGGGCGUAAAGGGCGCGUAGGCGGCCAGGCAAGUGGAAGGUGAAAUCCCUCGGCUUAACCGAGGAACUGCCCUCCAAACUGCUUGGCUUGAGACCGGGAGAGGUGAGUGGAAUUCCCAGUGUAGCGGUGAAAUGCGUAGAUAUUGGGAGGAACACCAGUGGCGAAGGCGACUUCCUGGCCUGUUCUUGACGCUGAGGCGCGAAAGCUAGGGUAGCAAACGGG